AACCAUAAAAAAAAUGUCAUAGUAUAGUAAGACGUCAAACAUGGUCAAAAAAUGUCAUAGUAUAGUAAGGCGUCAAAAAUGGUCAAAAAAUGUUAUAGUAUAGUAAGGCGUCAAAAAUGUUCAAAAAAUGUCAUAGUAUAGUAUGGCGUCAAAAACCAUCCAAAAAUGUCAUAGUAUAGUAUGGUGUCAAAAACGCUCAAAAAAUGUCAUAGUAUAGUACGGCGUCAAAAACCAUCAAAAAAUGUCAUAGUAUAGUACGGCAUCAAAAAUGGUCAAAAAAUGUCAUAGUAUAGUAUGGUGUCAAAAAUGGUCAAAAAAUGUCAUAGUAUAGUAUGGUGUCAAAAACCAUCCAAAAAUGUCAUAGUAUAGUAUGUUGUCAAAAACCAUAAAAAAAAUGUCAUAGUAUAGUAAGACGUCAAACAUGGUCAAAAAAUGUCAUAGUAUAGUAAGGUGUCAAAAACCAUCCAAAAAUGUCAUAGUAUAGUAGGGUGUCAAAAAUGGUCAAAAAAUGUCAUAGUAUAGUAUGGCGUCAAAAAUGGUCAAAAAAUGUCAUAGUAUAGUAUGGCGUCAAAAAUGGUCAAAAAAUGUCAUAGUAUAGUAUGGUGUCGAAAACGGUCAAAAAAUGUCAUAGUAUAGUAGGGCGUCAAAAAACAUCCAAAAAUGUCAUAGUAUAGUAUGGUGUCAAAAAUAGUCAAAAAAUGUCAUAGUAUAGUAUGGUAUCAAAAACCAUCCAAAAAUGUCAUCGUAUAAUAAGGCAUCAACAAUGGUCAAAAAAUGUCAUAGUAUAGUAUGGUGUCAAAAAUGGUCAAAAAAUGUCAUAGUAUAGUAUGGUGUCGAAAACGGUCAAAAAAUGUUAUAGUAAAGUAAGGCGUCAAAAACCAUCCAAAAAUGUCAUAGUAGAGUAUGGUGUCAAAAACGGUCAAAAAAUGUCAUAGUAUAAUAAGGCGUCAAAAAUGGUCAAAAAAUGUCAUAGUAUAGUAUGGUGUCAAAAACUGUAAAAAAAUGUCAUAGUAUAGUAUGGUGUCAAAAACGGUCAAAAAAUGUCAUAGUAUAGUAGGGUGUCAAAAAAUGUUAUAGUAAAGUAAGGCGUCAAAAAUGGUCAAAAAAUGUCAUAGUAUGGUAUGGUGUCAAAAACCAUCCAAAAAUGUCAUCGUAUAAUAAGGCAUCAACAAUGGUCAAAAAAUGUCAUAGUAUAGUAGGGUGUCAAAAACGGUCAAAAAAUGUCAUAGUAUAGUAUGGUGUCAAAAAUGGUCAAAAAAUGUCAUAGUAUAGUAUGGUGUCGAAAA